rnacentral:rRNA from 1 species
UGCGUAGGUGGCAAGGCAAGUCUGAAGUGAAAAUCCGGGGCUCAACCCCGGAACUGCUUUGGAAACUGUUUAGCUGGAGUACAGGAGAGGUAAGUGGAAUUCCUAGUGUAGCGGUGAAAUGCGUAGAUAUUAGGAGGAACACCAGUGGCGAAGGCGACUUACUGGACUGCUACUGACACUGAGGCACGAAAGCGUGGGAGCAAACA